CAGGCUUAACACAUGCAAGUCGAGGGGCAGCAUGGUCUUAGUUUGCUAAGGCCGAUGGCGACCGGCGCACGGGUGAGUAACACGUAUCCAACCUGCCGUCUACUCUUGGACAGCCUUCUGAAAGGAAGAUUAAUACAAGAUGGCAUCAUGAGUCCGCAUGUUCACAUGAUUAAAGGUAUUCCGGUAGACGAUGGGGAUGCGUUCCAUUAGAUAGUAGGCGGGGUAACGGCCCACCUAGUCUUCGAUGGAUAGGGGUUCUGAGAGGAAGGUCCCCCACAUUGGAACUGAGACACGGUCCAAACUCCUACGGGAGGCAGCAGUGAGGAAUAUUGGUCAAUGGGCGAGAGCCUGAACCAGCCAAGUAGCGUGAAGGAUGACUGCCCUAUGGGUUGUAAACUUCUUUUAUAAAGGAAUAAAGUCGGGUAUGCAUACCCGUUUGCAUGUACUUUAUGAAUAAGGAUCGGCUAACUCCGUGCCAGCAGCCGCGGUAAUACGGAGGAUCCGAGCGUUAUCCGGAUUUAUUGGGUUUAAAGGGAGCGUAGAUGGAUGUUUAAGUCAGUUGUGAAAGUUUGCGGCUCAACCGUAAAAUUGCAGUUGAUACUGGAUAUCUUGAGUGCAGUUGAGGCAGGCGGAAUUCGUGGUGUAGCGGUGAAAUGCUUAGAUAUCACGAAGAACUCCGAUUGCGAAGGCAGCCUGCUAAGCUGCAACUGACAUUGAGGCUCGAAAGUGUGGGUAUCAAACAGGAUUAGAUACCCUGGUAGUCCACACGGUAAACGAUGAAUACUCGCUGUUUGCGAUAUACUGCAAGCGGCCAAGCGAAAGCGUUAAGUAUUCCACCUGGGGAGUACGCCGGCAACGGUGAAACUCAAAGGAAUUGACGGGGGCCCGCACAAGCGGAGGAACAUGUGGUUUAAUUCGAUGAUACGCGAGGAACCUUACCCGGGCUUAAAUUGCAGAUGAAUUACGGUGAAAGCCGUAAGCCGCAAGGCAUCUGUGAAGGUGCUGCAUGGUUGUCGUCAGCUCGUGCCGUGAGGUGUCGGCUUAAGUGCCAUAACGAGCGCAACCCUUGUUGUCAGUUACUAACAGGUUCCGCUGAGGACUCUGACAAGACUGCCAUCGUAAGAUGUGAGGAAGGUGGGGAUGACGUCAAAUCAGCACGGCCCUUACGUCCGGGGCUACACACGUGUUACAAUGGGGGGUACAGAGGGCCGCUACCACGCGAGUGGAUGCCAAUCCCCAAAACCUCUCUCAGUUCGGACUGGAGUCUGCAACCCGACUCCACGAAGCUGGAUUCGCUAGUAAUCGCGCAUCAGCCACGGCGCGGUGAAUACGUUCCCGGGCCUUGUACACACCGCCCGUCAAGCCAUGGGAGCCGGGGGUACCUGAAGUGCGUAACCGCGAGGAGCGCCCUAGGGUAAAACUGGUGACUGGGGCUAAGUC
rnacentral:rRNA from 1 species